rnacentral:lncRNA from 1 species
CUUCCAUCUGCUAUUAACAAAAUACUUCAUUUUUUUCAUUUAUUAUUUUCACUGAUAAGGGAGGUAGCCUGACCGAUCAUUCAGUGAAGGAAAAACCAACCAUUUGUAAACCUGGAGAAUUUGAAGAUUAUUUGCAAGAUACAUCUUACUUGGAAGAACUAGAGAAACACCAAUUUUCAGUUUGGAAAGGGAACCAGAGGUACAGCGACUGAUACAGCCAUCCCUUGGUAUCAACCAGAAGAUUGUUUCCAGAACAUCUUUGGAUUUCAAAACCCCAGAUAUACAAGUCCCUUAUAUAAAAUGGC